UCCUACGGGGGGCAGCAGUGGGGAAUAUUGGGCAAUGGGCGCAAGCCUGACCCAGCAACGCCGCGUGAAGGAAGAAGGCUUUCGGGUUGUAAACUUCUUUUCUCAGGGACGAAGCAAGUGACGGUACCUGAGGAAUAAGCCACGGCUAACUACGUGCCAGCAGCCGCGGUAAUACGUAGGUGGCAAGCGUUGUCCGGAUUUACUGGGUGUAAAGGGCGUGUAGCCGGGUUGACAAGUCAGAUGUGAAAUCCUGCGGCUUAACCGCAGAACUGCAUUUGAAACUGUUGAUCUUGAGUACUGGAGAG
rnacentral:rRNA from 1 species